CUUACGUGUAUAGCUAAGGACAUUUGCUCGUGAAUUUACGUUCGAUAAUCGUUCAUAAAAUUAAUGUUAGAUAUGCUUGUUAAACAUGCACAUUUUAAACUAGGGAUUUUGCUGUUGUUUCAAGCACUACACCUUACUGCGGAAGGAAAUGCCCUCGGUUAUUUGUCCGCAAUGGCCCCGACUUUCAUUGGAAGGAAUAUAACGUUCCAGCUGAAGCCAAAAUCACCUCUUUCAUACGAACAAUACGAAGUCUGUAAAUGGAAAGUAAUAUUUAAAGAUCAAAGGUCAAAGGUCUACUCAAUCAACAGCGGAUAUAGCCUGUUCGAAUCUGACGGGAUGAAGAUGAUGGAACUGGACAGUGAUUAUGUGAACAGCAGCUUGGACGGGGCGGUUAUUUACGUGAAUUGCAAUAACCUGGAUUCGACUGUCAUUAAUCUAAAAUUAGAAGAUUUCAAAAACGAGUGUGGGUAUCUCAACGUGCUAUCCUACCCAGAAGGACCCGGAGGCUACGGUCAGAUUGCAUACUUCCCAACUGCAAAGAUUCUGAGAAAUCCCGUCGGUAAUUCACGGAUAUGGGAGAGAGACGGCGUUGAUAUAUCAUAUCUAGAAGGCGUUUAUGAAGAACGAACUGACAAACUUAAUUUCCAGUACAUUCUUACCGUCUUUAAUUUCAUCGGGCUACAUCGAUACAACGUUAUGUGUAAGGAACUCAAUACUGAAACUUACGAAAUUAUCCUUUUCGAUGGUCGUCCAGUACUAAGUUCGCUCUGCAGUGUGGACAACUGUUCCAACUGUCUGUGUGUCAUACCAGGAGACAUACUAAUAUGCACCACAUAUAGCAACAAUGUCUCGCUCUUGAUUGGUCACAUCAAAUUACAACUUAAACGCACUAAAUACGACAGCCUGUUUACAUACACCACCUAUGAAUUACACCAUCAGUGAGAAAGAUCAUCAGUCAACGGUCGUAUGCUCAGCGUCUUAUGACAACAAAAAGGUGUUUACCGCUAAUGCCUCGGUUUACAUUUACGUUCCACCAAAGUUAGAACCAGCACUAACUCUACCAGAACUACAAGAGGGAUCUCCAGUGAAUAUAACCUGUGUAACACCACCAGGGAGACCCCCUCCUGUUAUACAGAUGUUUCUCGACAGUCAGAUUAUUAAUCACGUCUCUCAACAUAACGUGUACGACGCAACCAAUCAAACGUAUACUAGUGUUGCCACAUUGAUAGUCGGCUAACAGAACGUGGGACAAUAAAAACAUCACCUGCAGAUAAUUAUUGACAUAUCCGGACGGUCAAAACGAUUCUUGGCGCUCGACGACCAAAACGGUGAACUAUACAUAUCCUCUCUCAAAUCCUGCGAAUAUGUCAGCUGGGUAUCAUCUCUACAUUGAAUGUCCAUUGGUGGACAUCAACACAAAAUGUAUAUAUAAAUGGGCGACAGAUAAAGACAACAUUCAAACACUCGACGCACUACUACCAAAUAUGACAGGCACAGUGUUUGCCCUGAAUGUCAAUGUCUCCGGUAAUUCCUCAGGUCAAAGAAGUAAAUGUCAUGCAGAGUGUGAGGAGUUCAAUCUACGGCUUUAAAAAUGAUAACAUUCUGGAUGUCUCAAAUGAAGCUGAACAUAUAAAAGCCUAUUUGGUAACAAAACGCGGCCUGUCAACAGAAGUUUGCUUUCCUUGCUCAGUAAAGAGAAAUCCACUCGCAAACAUUUCUCUUGGCAAACUCGAAGACCAGAUUUACCGCCAUGCAUGUCUGAACAGGAUUGAGUGUACAAUCGUCAUCUCCAGAUCUGAUAUUGAGGCAGCAUCUAAACAUGAAUGUCAAGCAUGAAACAUAAACGGACUCUCAAACACUACACUUGAAUCGAUUACAGAACAAGAAGAAGACCGCUUGCCUUUGACGGAGGGUUCGAUACCGCUCAUGUCAAUUAUGAUUGGACAGGCAGUUUUUGCGGUUGUCAUAUCUACUGUGACAGUCUUCUUCUUCAUAAGAGUUGCAUACAAUGGUUUUGAACGUAAAAUAAAAAUAUAAAAGGAUUUCGAACAAACUCUUCACAGCAGAGUGAUAUCCGAAUGGAAUCAGAACAUCAAUCCGGCAACGAUUCGGUCCAUGCAAGCAACAUUGAGACAAAUGCAAAUUUCGAAGCAAACAUCAAUAUAUACUCCAAUUUAGUUGCUUCCUUCAGCCGGCCAGUGAACUCGUAAGACAGGAAAAAUACACCACAUUGACAUCGCGUUUCUAGAGCUGAAACAGAAGAAAGUGACUUAGAAAAACGAAUACGUGCCAACCGAGUAAACAAGUGUUAGAGAACUCACCGCAUAUGUAUCAGAUGAACACGUCUAUGUUAAUACAUAAGACAGCAUUACCUUUAAAGAGAACUCAAUCUCUGAUAUAUCAGGUGUACGCGUCUAUGUUAAUACAUGAGACAGAAUUACCUUUGUCGAUGACGUUGUGGUUUAUGUGUUCUUCGCACGUCUGUUUUUCAGCCAAGAUGCCUAGGCAAUACAGGACAAAAUGUAUACAAAACAAACUUAAACAAAAGGAAGAAUUAAAGUCGACGUCGCCACACUGAUUUUAAUGACACAUUUGAUAAUGUUUAAUCUAGUGGAAGUGCGUUGUUAUGAAUACUCCGAUUCCGAUUUUAUUUAUGUCAUACAUGAUAAAACACAGGUUCAUCCAAUAACGAAUAAUUGUUUUUGCCUUGUUGUGCACAUGUAUUGCUUUGAGUGUGAAACGCACACAAACUUAUUUUUUUUCUUAAAAGUAAUGUGAAAAGACGAUUUCAUAGCAAAUCCUUUGAAUUUUUCUUAUAAAUCUUUUAUCCUCGUUUUCUUUCAUAUUAAUACUUUGUAUUCGAUUUUGGAUUUUAUUUUAUAGUAUGCUUAUGCAUAACUUCAAGACCUUAAAUACGUCUGAAAAAAUGUGAGAAUGCAGCCAAACAACAUAUUUUUAAAUGAUUAACAUUAAGAGAGUGAACGACUUUAUAAUACAUAAUAAUUUAUAAUAUAUAAAUCAUUAUUGUAUGUUAUUAAGACUUAAUAUUAACGCGCAAAGGCACGAUUUACAAGCAUUAAAUAAUUAGCAUCCCAUUUCAUGCUUAAGGAUUUGAAAGAAAGGCACAAUUAGACAAUAGGAACAUGCGCUCAUACUGAUCAAAUGCUGCUUUUUUACAAUUGUUUUAACUUUAAUAAUACAUUAUUUUCAACGUGUUUUCACUAGUUUUUAUUAAAUAUCGAUAUGUUUCUGUUUUGCAUAUUGUAGUAACCCUUUUCAACGAGAAGUCGAGUUCAACGUAUUUGUAUAUCACAGUUGAAAACAUAAGGAAAAGGCAAAUAUCUUUUAAGACAAUCUCAUUUUCUUGUUACAU